CCUACGGGUGGCAGCAGUGAGGAAUAUUGGUCAAUGGACGAGAGUCUGAACCAGCCAAGUAGCGUGAAGGAUGACUGCCCUAUGGGUUGUAAACUUCUUUUAUAAAGGAAUAAAUCGAGGCACGUGUGCCUUUUUGCAUGUACUUUAUGAAUAAGGAUCGGCGAACUCUGUGCCAGCAGCCGCGGUAAUACGGAGGAUCCGAGCGUUAUCCGGAUUUAUGGGGUUGAAAGGGCGCGUAGAUGGGUUGUUAAGUCCGUUGUGAAGGUUUGCGGCUCAACCGUAAAAUUGCAAUUGAUACUGGCAGUCUUGGGGACAGUUGGGGUAGGCGAAAUUCGUGGUGUAGCGGUGAAAUGCU
rnacentral:rRNA from 1 species